AACGAACGCUGGCGGCAGGCCUAACACAUGCAAGUCGAGCGAGGACUUCGGUCCUAGCGGCGGACGGGUGAGUAACGCGUGGGAACGUGCCCUUUGCUUCGGAAUAGCACUGGGAAACUGGGAGUAAUACCGGAUGAGCCCUUUGGGGGAAAGAUUUAUCGGCGAAGGAUCGGCCCGCGUUGGAUUAGGUAGUUGGUGGGGUAAUGGCCUACCAAGCCGACGAUCCAUAGCUGGUUUGAGAGGAUGAUCAGCCACACUGGGACUGAGACACGGCCCAGACUCCUACGGGAGGCAGCAGUGGGGAAUCUUAGACAAUGGGGGAAACCCUGAUCUAGCCAUGCCGCGUGAGCGAUGAAGGCCUUAGGGUUGUAAAGCUCUUUCAGCUGGGAAGAUAAUGACGGUACCAGCAGAAGAAGCCCCGGCUAACUCCGUG
rnacentral:rRNA from 1 species